rnacentral:rRNA from 1 species
GACAGAGGUCCCGAGCGUUAGGCGGAAUCACUGGGCUUAAAGCGUGUGUAGGCGGAGUGCUAAGUACCUUGUGAAAUCCCACGGCUUAACCGUGGAACUGCUUGGUAUACUGGCUCUCUUGGGUCAUCUAGGGGCGAGCGGAACAAGUGGUGGAGCGGUGAAAUGCGUAGAUAUCACUUGGAACGCCAAUGGUGAAAACAGCUCGCUGGGGAUGUACCGACGCUGAGACACGAAAGCCAGGGGAGCAAACGGG